rnacentral:rRNA from 1 species
UACGGGGGGGGCAAGCGUUGUUCGGAAUUACUGGGCGUAAAGGGUUUGUAGGUGGCUUGUUAAGUCAGACGUGAAAUCCCUCAGCUUAACUGGGGAACUGCGUCUGAUACUGGCGAGCUUGAGUGCAGGAGAGGAACGCGGAAUUCCAGGUGUAGCGGUGAAAUGCGUAGAUAUCUGGAGGAACACCGGUGGCGAAGGCGGCGUUCUGGACUGUUUCUGACACUGAAAAACGAAAGCCAGGGGAGCAAACGGG